rnacentral:rRNA from 1 species
GACGAACGCUGGCGGCAUGCCUAAUACAUGCAAGUCGAGCGAACAGAUGAAGUGCUUGCACUUCUGACGUUAGCGGCGAACGGGUGAGUAACACGUAAGGAAUCUACCUAUAAGCGGGGGAUAACAUUCGGAAACGGGUGCUAAUACCGCAUAAUAUCUUCUUCCGCAUGGAAGAAGAUUGAAAGACGGCUCUGCUGUCACUUAUAGAUGACCUUGCGGUGCAUUAGUUAGUUGGUGGGGUAACGGCCUACCAAGACGAUGAUGCAUAGCCGACCUGAGAGGGUGAUCGGCCACAUUGGGACUGAGACACGGCCCAAACGCCUACGGGAGGCAGCAGUAGGGAAUCUUCCGAAAUGGGCGAAAGCCUGACGGAGCAAUGCCGCGUGAGUGAAGAAGGCCUUCGGGUCGUAAAACUCUGUUAUAAGAGAAGAACAAAUUGUAGAGUAACUGCUACAGUCUUGACGGUAUCUUAUCAGAAAGCCACGGCUAACUACGUGCCAGCAGCCGCGGUAA